rnacentral:rRNA from 1 species
AUGCCGGCCUGGCUUGAAUACGACCAGGCCAUCAAUAACACCCACCCCUAUAAGACAAGUCAUCGAGGCCUCCUCGAAACUGCGCACACAUUUACAACUUCCUGCUGUUCUUUGCAGUACUCUCACCACACAAACACCAAAUAUUGGCCAGAGGAGGAAGAGGAGGAGAUGGAGACGGCGAUCGGUGCGGCAAGCUGGCUCGUCGGCAAGGUGCUGAAUAAGCUGUCCAAUGACUUGGUGUCCUCGUAUGUGGCAAGCACCGAGCUCGGCUUCAACUCCGAGCAGAUCAAAACCAAGCUCAAGUACAUGCAAGGACUGCUGGAUGCGGCUCAGGACAGGGAUGUGAGCAGCAACCGUGGCCUGCAGAGCUUACUGGAGGACCUGAGCAACAAGGCUGAUGAGGCUGAGGAUGUGCUGGACGAGCUCCACUACUUCAUGAUCCAGGACAAGUUGGACGGCACCACGGAGGCAGGCCCGGAUCUGGGCGAUGGCCUACGUGGCCAUGCUCUCCACGGUCGCCAUGCUGCUCGCCACACAAUUGGUAACUGGCUUCCAUGCUUUUCUUGCUCACGUUCUCGUACACAAGAUGAUGGUUGUGGUACUGCUAUUGCUAUUACCAGUAACCCACACAAUGCAACCAAGUCUGAUAGCGGUGAUGAUGGUGGCUGUGUUCUGAAGUUGAAAUUCGAUAGAGUGGCCAUGUCCAACAAAAUCAAGUCAGUAAUAGAGAGCAUACAUAACCUGUGUGAUCCUGUCUCCGACUUGCUGAAUAAAAUCCCAAAUAACAACACAACUAUCACCGUCCAAAGGCUCCACACGGGUUCAACAGUUGCACAAGAUAAACUGUAUGGGAGGGGUGCCAUUUUUGAGAGAACUAUAAAUGCUCUGACCAGUGGCACAUAUGAUGGUGAAACCCUUUCUGUUCUGCCUUUUGUCGGUCCUGGGGGUAUGGGAAAGACAACCUUCACCCAACACUUGUAUAAUGAUAAAAGGGUUGAGGAGCAGUUCACUGUCAGGGUCUGGGUGUGUGUCUCAACUGAUUUUGAUGUGCUCAACCUCAGCCGACAGAUCCUUAGAUGCAUACCUGCAAUUGAAAAAGAACAACACAAGUGUACUGUCGAGACUGCCAAUUUAGACCAGCUUCAGAAAUCCAUUGCAGAGAGACUGAAGACCAAAAGGUUUUUAAUUGUCUUGGAUGAUAUUUGGAAAUGCAAUAGUGAAAGUGAUUGGAAUAACCUUUUAGCUCCAUUUAAAAGGGGGGAAACAAAGGGCAACAUGGUUCUUGUCACCACUAGAUUUCCCUCUAUAGCACAUAUGGUGAAAACAACUGAUCUAGUAGAGCUGCAUGGUCUGGAGCCUAAUGACUUUUUGGAAUUCUUUGAAGUAUGCAUAUUUGGUCAUAGCAAACCUGUGCAUUAUGAAGAUGACCUAAUUGAUGUUGCAAGAGACAUUGUUAAGAAACUAAAGGGUUCACCACUAGCAGCCAAUACAGUUGGUCGGUUAUUAAGGAAUAACAUUUCUCGGGAAUAUUGGAUUAGAGUUCUUGAAAAGAAUGAGUGGCAAAAUGCAAAAAAUGAUGAUGAUAUUAUGCCUUCUCUGAAAAUUAGCUAUGAUUACCUCCCUUUCCUACUAAAAAAAUGUUUUUCAUAUUUUGCUCUGUUCCCUGAAGAUUAUAAGUUUUAUAAUUUGGAAAUUACUAGCUUUUGGACUGCCAUAGGUAUCAUAGACUCUAGUUACCAAAACGAUAAUAAUUAUUUAGAGGAACUAGUAGACAAUGGUUUUCUCAUGAAGGGAGUUGAUAGGUAUGAUGAUCAAUACUAUGUGAUGCACGAUUUAUUGCAUGAACUAUCCCGUAAUGUGUCGUCACAAGAAUGCGUCAAUAUAAGUAGUUUAAGUUUCAGUGCUGAUAACAUCCCACAAUCUAUUCGACAAUUAUCAAUCACCAUAAAUGAUACAUAUGAUGAAAGUUUUGAAGAAGAAAUGGGUAAACUGAAGGGUAGGUUAGACAUUGCAAAUUUGCGGACUUUGAUGAUUUUUGGGUUAUGUAAUGCAAGCAUAGCUAAUGUUUUGAAAGACACAUUUGAGGAAUUGAAGGGCCUCCGAGUAUUAUUUAUAGCAAUCAACAUGCCAACAUCUCUGCCUAACAACUUUUCAAAACUUAUCCACCUUCAAUACCUUAAGAUUGGUUCACCCUAUAACUUAGAAAUGACUUUACCUAGCACCUUGUCUAGAUUUUACCACUUAAAAUUCCUGGACCUACAAGCUUGGAAUGGUAGUAGAAAGUUGCCUACAGACAUUAGCUGCCUUGUGAAUUUACGCCAUUUCAAUUCUUCCAAAAAACUCCACUCCAAUAUUCCCGAGGUUGGAAAGAUGAAGUGCUUACAAGAGCUAAAAGAGUUCCAUGUUAAGAAAGAGGGUGUUGGGUUUGAAUUGAGAGAGCUGGGGGAACUGGGAGAGCUAAAAGGAGAACUCCGCAUAUGCAAUCUUGAAACUGUGGCGUCCAAGGGGGAAGCUAGUGCUGCUAAACUGAAGAAUAAAAAGAAUCUGAAAGGGUUGAAAUUAGUUUGGGGUACGGAGCACCAAACCAUAGAUGAUGAUGUUCUUGAUGGUCUUCAACCACACCCUAAUCUUAGGGUGCUUGGCAUUAUAAAUCCUGGUGUUGCACCUUGUCCUAGAUGGUUGUGUGGUGACAUUAGCACAAAAAGGUUGGAGUCUCUUCAUCUGGAGGGUCUUUCUUGGUGUCCUCUUCCAGCUUUUGAGCAGCUACCACACCUCAGUAGUCUCACUUUGAAAAAUAUUGCUGGGUUGAGUGUGUUCGGGCCUGGCUUUAGUGGUGUUACAGAAAGAAGCUUCAUGCACCUGAAGACACUUGAGUUUGAGAAUAUGCCAGAGCUUGUGGAGUGGGUCGGGGAACCUAAUAGCCAUUUGUUUUCAAGGCUUGAAAGCAUCAAGUUUGGAGGUUGUCCCCUUCUCAGCUUGUUUCCCUUCUUAGAGUGCUCUGGCCUAUUUACCAACCUGUGUAGUCUUCAUAUCGAAAACUGCCCCAAGUUGUCUCAGUUCCCACCCAUGCCUCACACCUCCACAAUAACAGAUAUUCAUGUGAAAAAUGAUGGGUCAGAGCUAUUAUAUGAUGGUAAGCAAUUGAGCAUUGAAGGGUAUGCCGGUACUUUGGCUUUCCACAAUAUGGAUAAAGUAGAGGUUAUGAAAAUUACGGAUGUAUCACACAUUCCGUUUGCAGACCUCCAAAAGCUAAAUUCGUUGACAAGUAUACAUUUCAAGAAAUGCGACGACAUGUUUUCUGCAGAAAUGGCUGACAGUGUUGUCAUCCAUUCAGUUCAGAAUCUUGGUAUAGAGGAAUUACAUAUUACUGGAGAAUUGUUCUCAAAGAUUUUGAAGUGUUUCCCGGCCCUUUCCCAGCUUACCAUGGGAGAGUGUAAGAGCCUUGAACUUCUGCCUGUGGAGGAUGGAGGACUCUUGGGCCUCGAGAUGCUCCAAUCAUUUACAGGAUACAAUUGUGGGAAGCUGUUCUCUCGGUGGCCCAAGGGAGAAGCAGGCGCAGGAGCUCAUGCCAUCAAGCCUUUCCCUGCUUCCCUCAGGGAACUUUGGAUUUCCAUAGAGCCAAGCAUGCAGUCAAUGGGUCUGCUCUCAAACCUCACGUCCCUCACCAGUCUGACCCUGUCAAGUUGUAUGGAAUUGACAAUGGAUGGGUUCAGUCCUCUCAUCACAGUCAACCUCAAGAAAUUUGCCGUAGAUGCUAGGCAUUCGAAGCAAGAGAACAUGUCUAUUGCAGGGGAUCUGCUGUCAGAGAUUGCAAGGAGCAAAUUAGUGCGUGCAGGUUCUUUCCAGCUGGAAGAAAUUUUGGUGGAUAGCAUCUCGGCAGUGCUUACUGCUCCCAUCUGCAGCCACCUUGCCGCAAGCCUCCACACAUUGAUGUUCACUUCUGAUGAGCGGGCAACAACCUUCACGGAAGAGCAAGAGCAAGCUCUGCAGCUCCUCACCUCCCUCAAAAAUCUAGAAUUUCAUGGUUGCAAGAACCUGCAGUCCCUCCCUCAAGGGUUACCUGACCUUUCUUCUCUGACGAAACUAACGAUCGGUAUUUGUGAGAAAAUCCUAUGCAUCCCGCCAGAGUGCUUCCCCGCUUCACUGAAAGGGCUUGGAGUAAUAUCUUGCAGUCCCGAGCAAAUUGAGCAAGCCAGAAAACUGAAAGAAAGUGACCCAUGGUUUUUUGUAAGUGUUGUCUCCCCCUUCCAGACAUACUGA